GCUAUUUUGACAGAAUAAUGUGAUGGUUUUAGAAAUCAUUUAUAUAUAAUUUAAUUAUAUAGAUAGUA
rnacentral:tRNA from 2 species